CGCACCCGCGUGCCCCCAGCCCCGGGCGUUCGCCGCUGCCGCUGCACCGGCCCGUCCUGCCCACCUGCCCGCACAUCAAACGUCCUCUUUCCCCCUGAAAAGUUUCUAGACGGACAUAGAAAAGACAUUAGAAAUGAACCCUUGGCUGUCACAGGAGAUGGCUUCCUUGCAACCUCUAACUCCUACUGUACAUACUCAACAAUAAGAAGAGACCUAAAAGGAUCUGACCACUUAUCUACACCAGAAAACUUUAAAACUUAACUCUGGAGGAUACCUUAGUCUCCUCAUCUGUAAAACAAUGAUAUUAAUCCUCACGUUCUUCAAAAGAAUUAAUCCAGUUGUUUAAGGUCCCCAGUUGCGUUCUGGAAAUUAUUCAUGACUAUUAUAAAAUACAAACACUGCUAAAUUAGAAAAAGAACAUAUCCUAGAAAAAGAGAAACUUUAAUUAAAUUUUACUUUGCAGUCUAUUGUAAUGAAGAAGCCACGUAACAAGUGUGUCUAAAAAGUAACCCAAUUCAUUUUUCUGUGAA